rnacentral:rRNA from 1 species
GACGAACGCUGGCGGCGCGCCUAACACAUGCAAGUCGAACGGAGCUGAGAGAAGCUUGCUUUUCUUAGCUUAGUGGCGAACGGGUGAGUAACGCGUGAGUAACCUGCCCUGGAGUGGGGGACAACAGUUGGAAACGACUGCUAAUACCGCAUAAGCCCACGAUCCGGCAUCGGAUUGAGGGAAAAGGAUUUAUUCGCUUCAGUAUAGACUCGCGUCCAAUUAGCUAGUUGGUGAGGUAACGGCCCACCAAGGCGAGGAUUGGUAGCCGGACUGAGAGGGUGAACGGCCACAUUGGGACUGAGACACGGCCCAGACUCCUACGGGAGGCAGCAGUGGGGGAUAUUGCACAGUGGGGGAAACCCUGAUGCAGCGACGCCGCGUGGAGGAAGAAGGUUUUCGGAUUGUAAACUCCUGUCGUUAGGGACGAUAAUGACGGUACCUAACAAGAAGGCACCGGCUAACUACGUG